rnacentral:rRNA from 1 species
GACGAACGCUGGCGGCGUGCCUAAUACAUGCAAGUAGAACGCUGAAGGAGGAGCUUGCUUCUCUGGAUGAGUUGCGCACGGGUGAGUAACGCGCAGGUAACCUGCCUGGUAGCGGGGGAUAACUCUUGGAAACGAUAGCUAAUACCGCAUAAGAGUAGAUGUUGCAUGACAUUUGCUUAAAAGGUGCAAUUGUACUACUACCAGUUGGUGCUGCGUUGUCUUAGUUAGUUGGUGGGGUAACGGCUUACCAAAGCGACGAUACAUAGCCGGCCUGAGAGGGGGAAUGGGCAAACCUGGAAUGGGACACCGCCCAGGCCCCUUCGGGGGGGAGCAGUAGGGGAUCUUCGGCAAAGGACGGAAGUCUGACCGGGGAACGCCGCGUGAGUGAAGGAGGUUUUCGGAACGGAAAGCUUUGUUGUAAGGGAAGAAAGAGUGUGGGAGUGGAAAGUUCACACUGUGACGGUAUCUAACCAGAAAGGGACGGCUAACUACGUG